rnacentral:lncRNA from 1 species
GGCAGAUAGGGCUUGGAUCUGGAAUAAGUAAAUCCUUGCUUUGGUGUGAGUCUUCUUGCCUUUGACCUCAUUUAUGUGCUACAAUUUUUUCACUGGCUUCUGGAAUUCUCAGAAAGGGAUGGGCAUAGAACUACGCUAGGAACUUCUUCAAACACUGCUGAGGGCU